UUUACACCCAUCAGGAAGGGUGGAGGGGAAGCACGGUGGAGAAUGGAUACCUUCUGAGGACAGCGGUCAGUAUUUUGGUAGUCAAGUGACAGUCACCAUUUCUGGUGAGCUUUGGAACCAGAUGUGGGAGAAGCACCACUCUUGCAAGUAUGACACCCAUGAUUCAUGGUGUUUCAUCGCAGCAAUGGAAACCCCAACUGAGACAGAUGGGCUUCAGCUAGCCAGCAGAGAAACAAAAACUGAGCUGUGUUCCCCUAGGUGGGUCGCCUUGGGGCUCAUGGGACUUCAGCAGCUGUACUGAAAGGAGGCAGGGAUGGGAUGCCCAGCUCCAACUAGUCAAGUGUUCCUGGAGGUGCUGAGCAGAGGACCUGUGCUGAGUGGACGCUCAACACAGGCCUUGGCAGGACUAGACUCAACAGUGGCGUUGGUCCCAAGAAGGAAGGAGGUGUGGACACCUGUACCUGAAAACAAAGAUGGGUAACCAGGACCCCCUCCUCCCCAGCAAACUUCGUAUGUGGGCCUCUCCUGGGUUCUCAGUGUAUAGGUCUGAAGCAAGACAGGGGGGGCAGCUCUGACUUAGCCAUCAGUCUUGUCUGGAUGCUAGCCCGAUGCUAGCUGGAUACUAGCCGGAUGCUCAAAGGACAGGUGACUUCUUAGAGGGGACAUCCUCUUUGCCAGCAGCCUUCUUCCCAGCCUUUGCUUCUCCUCCUGCCUCGGUUCUGGCUUGCACUUGUGGGUGAGCUUAAGUGGCUGGGUGCUGUUGGCAAGCCCAGGCCUGAGUGAACUGGUUCAUCACAGAAGGUACUUUGAGCCACAUACAGAGGAAGGCCUUUGCUACUGUAGCCUGAUGUUGCGGGUCAUUUGAGGAAGCAGGUGGAGCCCCUUUGGGCUGGAUGUCCUAGCCAAUGCCGAAGUUUUCAGCCUUUUUGUCAGAGGACCCACUACUCUUUCGGCCUCCUGCUUCCUCAGGGCAGUGGUGAAGGUGACAUGGUGUAUCAGCUUCUUGCCUUGGGUCUACGUUCCUGUCAUCGACUUGCUCGGCUGCCAGAAGACUUUUUCUUAAAUCACUACUCCCUAAACUCUACUGUCUAUUUACACAGCUCUAACAUCACAUGUGUACUAUCAGGAGCCUGCACAGGGGCGUGCGCAUGGUGAUCUACAAAUGCUGAGCCACUUUAUACACGGGCUGGAGGAUCUGCGGAUUUGGGUUCCAGGAACUCAUCUUCAGUGGAUUCCAAGGAGUAGCUAGCUGUCCUAACAGAGUGACAUUUACCAUUGUUAGUGGCUACUUCAGCUGAUGUUUGGCUGACAAUUGGCUGAGCAGACCUGGGGUGAAGGGCAGGACAGGAUCCUGGGAGAGGAAUGAAGGGGAAGAAACCAGGGAGAUGGCUCAGUGCAGAACCUG